rnacentral:lncRNA from 1 species
GUUGGUCACCUUAUCUGUGCUGUGGAUAAUAAUAGGAUAGAAAUCACUGCCCCGGGCGCCUGAGUGUGACCUGCUUAUCUCUGGACAGCAGCUGUUUAAUUGAAAUGAUGGUGAAGUAUUUUUGUCUCGGCAACGCUGGCUCUCACCACCCAACCAGAAGGUACAGGGAGAGUCUCCUUCCGUCCUGUCUCCUCCCAGAGGCCCUGUGGGUGCCUGGUGCCUUACAGCCACCACGACAGACUUCAGACUUCCGACGCUUUUGUCUCUUCCUUGCGUACAGUCCCUGGAAAUUCCUCUACCUCACCCCACGCGGGGGGUGGGAGAUCAUUGAUUGAAGCAGGUGUUACUCACGGUAGCCGAAAGGUGCAGACAACCCCAGUGCCCAUCGACGGACGAGUGGACAAACAAAACGUCUGUCCGCACGCUGGAGUGUUGUUCAGCCUUCAGAAGGAAGGAAACGGACACCUGCUCCAGCGUGGACGGACCUCAGCAAGACUGGCGGUCAAUGGGACAAACACUGCAGUCACCGCGUUCAGAGGCAGAAAGGAGGACGUGGUUUCCAGGGCCUGGGGGCCGGGGCGGGUGUUCCCUGGGGACAGAGCUUCCGUCUUGCAAGAUGGACAGCGUUCUGGGGACAGCCGGUGGUGAUGGUUUGCACAAUAAUGUGUUAAAAGGUAAACCGAGGCACAUUACAGUUAUUUUUUCAAGGGUUCAUCUGAGCAGACCUUGAUUGGGCAGACGCGGUUAGGAACCUCCCCAGGAGCGAGAGACGGGUUUCAGAGGCGACGAAGCCAGGAGAUGAUCUCAUCGGCCAUGUGUGAGCGGCUGGCUCGUUCGGGAAGGCCGCCCGGCUGUUCACAGGUCCCAUUUCCUCUUUGGGGCAUCAGAGCCACGCCAUCCAGCCGCCGCCUCAGGUGUGCCAACACUCGACCGUGGACACACCCGGCUUUUGCCGCGCCUCCCGUCCCAGCCCUGCCUGUGCUGGGUGAGGUCCCGCACGCCACGUGCCUUCCCCGGGACCCACAGGAUGGAGUCACUAUUGUGCCUACAGGUGGUUGUUUUUUUCUUUCUUCAUGA